UACGAGGGGGGCGAGCGUUGUUCGGAAUUAUUGGGCGUAAAGCGCGCGCAGGCGGUCCUUUAAGUCUGAUGUGAAAGCCCACGGCUCAACCGUGGAGGGUCAUUGGAAACUGGGGGACUUGAGUGCAGAAGAGGAAAGCGGAAUUCCACGUGUAGCGGUGAAAUGCGUAGAGAUGUGGAGGAACACCAGUGGCGAAGGUGGCUUUCUGGUCUGUAACUGACGCUGAGGCGCGAAAGCGUGGGGAGCAAACAGG
rnacentral:rRNA from 1 species